AUUGAACGCUGGCGGCAUGCUUUACACAUGCAAGUCGAACGGCAGCGCGGGCUUCGGCCUGGCGGCGAGUGGCGAACGGGUGAGUAAUGCAUCGGAACGUGCCCAGUAGUGGGGGAUAGCCCGGCGAAAGCCGGAUUAAUACCGCAUACGACCUGAGGGUGAAAGCGGGGGACCGAAAGGCCUCGCGCUAUUGGAGCGGCCGAUGUCGGAUUAGCUAGUUGGUGGGGUAAAGGCUUACCAAGGCGACGAUCCGUAGCUGGUCUGAGAGGACGACCAGCCACACUGGGACUGAGACACGGCCCAGACUCCUACGGGAGGCAGCAGUGGGGAAUUUUGGAGAAUGGGGGCAACCCUGAUCCAGCCAUGCCGCGUGCGGGAAGAAGGCCUUCGGGUUGUAAACCGCUUUUGUUCGGGAAGAAAUCCUCUGGGCUAAUACCCCGGGGGGAUGACGGUACCGGAAGAAUAAGCACCGGCCAACUACGUG
rnacentral:rRNA from 1 species